AGUGGCGAACGGGUGAGUAAUGCAUCGGAACGUACCGUGUAGUGGGGGAUAACGUAGCGAAAGUUACGCUAAUACCGCAUACGCCCUGAGGGGGAAAGUGGGGGACCGCAAGGCCUCACGCUAUAUGAGCGGCCGAUGUCGGAUUAGCUAGUUGGUAGGGUAAAGGCCUACCAAGGCGACGAUCCGUAGCGGGUCUGAGAGGAUGAUCCGCCACACUGGGACUGAGACACGGCCCACACUCCUACGGGAGGCAGCAGUGGGGAAUUUUGGACAAUGGGCGCAAGCCUGAUCCAGCCAUGCCGCGUGAGUGAAGAAGGCCUUCGGGUUGUAAAGCUCUUUCAGACGGAAAGAAAUCUCUCGGGAUAACACCCUGGGAGGAUGACGGUACCGUAAAAAGAAGCACCGGCUAACUACGUGCCAGCAGCCGCGGUAAUACGUAGGGUGCGAGCGUUAAUCGGAAUUACUGGGCGUAAAGCGUACGCAGGCGGUGAUGUAAGACAGAUGUGAACUCCCCGCGCUCAACCUGGGAACUGCGUUUGUGACUGCAUCACUCGAGUACGGCAGAGGGGGGAUGGAAUUCCGCGUGUAGCAGUGAAAUGCGUAGAUAUGCGGAGGAACACCGGAUGGCGAACGUUAUCCCCCGUGGGUCAGUACUGUCGCUCAUGCACGGAAGCGUGGA
rnacentral:rRNA from 1 species